rnacentral:rRNA from 1 species
CUGGCUCAGGAUGAACGCUGGCGGCGUGCCUAACACAUGCAAGUCGAACGGAAAUUACAGAAGGAAGUUUCGGAUGGAAUUUGUAAUUUAGUGGCGGACGGGUGAGUAACACGUGGGUAACCUGCCCUGUACCGGGGGAUAACAGUUGGAAACGGCUGUUAAUACCGCAUAAGCGCACAGCUUCGCAUGAAGCAGUGUGAAAAACUCCGGUGGUACAGGAUGGACCCGCGUCUGAUUAGCUAGUUGGCGGGGUAAUGGCCCACCAAGGCGACGAUCAGUAGCCGGCCUGAGAGGGUGAACGGCCACAUUGGGACUGAGACACGGCCCAGACUCCUACGGGAGGCAGCAGUGGGGAAUAUUGCACAAUGGAGGAAACUCUGAUGCAAGCGACGCCGCGUGAGCGAUGAAGUAUUUCGGUAUGUAAAGCUCUAUCAGCAGGGAAGAUAAUGACGGUACCUGACUAAGAAGCCCCGGCUAACUACGUGCCAGCCGCGGC